rnacentral:rRNA from 1 species
UACAGAGGUCCCAAGCGUUGUUCGGAUUCAUUGGGCGUAAAGGGUGCGUAGGCGGCCAACUAAGUCAGACGUGAAAUCCCUCGGCUUAACCGGGGAACUGCGUCUGAUACUGGAUGGCUUGAGGUUGGGAGAGGGAUGCGGAAUUCCAGGUGUAGCGGUGAAAUGCGUAGAUAUCUGGAGGAACACCGGUGGCGAAGGCGGCAUCCUGGACCAAUUCUGACGCUGAGGAGCGAAAGCCAGGGGAGCAAACGGG